rnacentral:piRNA from 1 species
UCCGAGUCGCCCGGGAAGUGUGG